CUGCUGAAGCUGACAACAGCGGAAUUCUUGUCCACAUCAAGUAGGUCUAUGGGGACAUCACUCUGCAGCCAACAUUAAAAAAAGGUUCAGUUGCAGCUGCUCCAACUCACUCCUGGAGGAAAACAGAUACAACUCUGUCACCUGUUGAUAUUUGCAAUGAUGAUACCCAGAAUUGAUGGGCAAAGUUAACGGUAUCUGACCAGAAAUAAAACAAUGACACCAAACAAUAUCAGUAACCUGUAAUCCUCAUCAUCAAGUGAGAGUUAAGGGGAAAACAAUCUAGUUUCAUGUAAGAAUGUCCUUGAUGAAGCAAUAAAAAGUAUUAAUCUUAUUAAAUCUUGACCCUUGAAUACAUGUCUUUUUAAUAAUUAGUGUGGAAAAAAUAGGAAGUGUGCAUUAAGCAGUCUGCUGUAUACCCAAA